rnacentral:rRNA from 1 species
GAUGAACGCUGGCGGCGUGCUUAACACAUGCAAGUCGAACGGUGAAGCCAAGCUUGCUUGGUGGAUCAGUGGCGAACGGGUGAGUAACACGUGAGCAACCUGCCCUGGACUCUGGGAUAAGCGCUGGAAACGGCGUCUAAUACUGGAUAUGAGCCUCUUCCGCAUGGUGGGGGUUGGAAAGAUUUUUUGGUCUGGGAUGGGCUCGCGGCCUAUCAGCUUGUUGGUGAGGUAAUGGCUCACCAAGGCGUCGACGGGUAGCCGGCCUGAGAGGGUGACCGGCCACACUGGGACUGAGACACGGCCCAGACUCCUACGGGAGGCAGCAGUGGGGAAUAUUGCACAAUGGGCGAAAGCCUGAUGCAGCAACGCCGCGUGAGGGAUGAUGGCCUUCGGGUUGUAAACCUCUUUUAGCAGGGAAGAAGCGAAAGUGACGGUACCUGCAGAAAAAGCGCCGGCUAACUACGUG